CCUACGGGAGGCAGCAGUCGAGAAUCUUCGGCAAUGGACGCAAGUCUGACCGAGCGGCGCCGCGUGCGGGAUGAAGGCCUUCGGGUUGUAAACCGCUGUCAGAGGGGAUGAAGUGUACGGGAGUUAUCUCCUGUAUUUGACAGAGCCUCAGAGGAAGCACGGGCUAAGUUCGUGCCAGCAGCCGCGGUAAUACGAACUGUGCGAACGUUAUUCGGAAUCACUGGGCUUAAAGGGUGCGUAGGCGGCUGCCUAAGUCAGGUGUGAAAUCUCUCGGCUCAACCGGGAAACUGCGCUUGAUACUGGGCGGCUCGAGUGAGGUAGGGUGUGUGGAACUUCCGGUGGAGCGGUGAAAUGUGUAGAUAUCGGAAGGAACGCCAGCAGCGAAAGCGGCACACUGGGCCUUUUCUGACGCUGAGGCACGAAAGCUAGGGGAGCGAACGGGAUUAGAUACCCGGUAGUCCUAGCCGUAAACACUGAACACUCGAGGAGGGGGCUUCGGCCUUCUUUCUCUUAGCGAAAGCGUUAAGUGUUCCGCCUGGGGAGUAUGGUCGCAAGGCUGAAACUCAAAGAGUAGUGACGCGUGAGACGACGACGACGGACGACGACGGAGGGAGGAGG
rnacentral:rRNA from 1 species